rnacentral:rRNA from 1 species
GAUGAACGCUGGCGGCGUGCUUAACACAUGCAAGUCGAACGGACUUAUCUUAUGAAGCUUGCUUCGCGAGAUAAGUUAGUGGCGGACGGGUGAGUAACGCGUGGGUAACCUGCCGUAUGCUGGGGGAUAACGUUUGGAAACGAACGCUAAUACCGCAUGAUAUAACGUAAUCGCAUGAUUGUGUUAUCAAAGGAGCAAUCCGCUGAAAGAUGGGCUCGCGUCCGAUUAGGUAGUUGGUGGGGUAACGGCCUACCAAGCCGACGAUCAGUAGCCGGUCUGAGAGGAUGAACGGCCACAUUGGGACUGAGAUACGGCCCAGACUCCUACGGGAGGCAGCAGUGGGGAAUAUUGGGCAAUGGGCGAAAGCCUGACCCAGCAACGCCGCGUGAAGGAAGAAGGCCCUCGGGUUGUAAACUUCUUUUACCAGGGACGAAAUUUGACGGUACCUGGAGAAAAAGCAACGGCUAACUACGUG